rnacentral:rRNA from 1 species
AUGGACGGCGAUAGGCGGCCUCCGGCGGCGGCCGCGGCCGCAUCGGCGGCAUCGGUCCUCGGCGACGACGACCUGCUCCGCGAGAUCCUGCUCCGCCUCGGCUUCCCCACCUGCCUCGUCCGCGCAGCCCUCGUCUGCAAGCGGUGGCUCCUCCACGCCUCCGACCCGGCCUUCCUCCGCCGCUUCCGCGAGCGCAACCCGCCCCGCCUCCUCGGCUUCUGCCUCCGCUGCCCUGACGGGUAUUCUUUCGUGCCGCUGCCACAGCCCCCGGAGCUCGCCGUCCCCAUACGCCGGGCGACCUCCUCCUGCGCCGCCGCCUUCGCCAUCAAAAUCCAUCGAAUCAAGCACUGCCGGAACGGCCGCCUCAUCACCAACUACUUCGACGGCUGCACACAUCAUCAUGCCAUCAUGGCGCCGCUGCUGCACGGGGAAUCCGCAACCGCCCUCCCGCCGAUCCCGCUACACUCCCGUGACUGGGCCAGGCGCGCUCAAGUGAGAUUCUUUGAGAUGUUCCUACCCGAGGAUGGGGGCCUCCACGGCAUCACCUUGCUGCAUCUCUGGAUGGUUGGGCGAAAAAUCUAUGCGGAGGUGUGCGUCCUGAGAUCCAGCGGUUGGGGCGUCCCUGCCACCGCAGAGAUGGAGCUCCCUGCUCAAAGGUAUGACGAAGGCUUCCUUGAUGACAUGCUACCACCCGUCCUUGGCAAGGUCUUCAUGGUGACCGCCUCUGGGACUGGGUACGCCCUGGGCCUAGAUUUGGCGACGGCGAGCUUUUUCACCCUUGAGCUCCCAGUUGGAGUGCAGAGCAACUAUAAGCUCUCAUGUGCGGAGGAUUCUGGGCUCUAUCUUGUCAGUGCAGACGGGUUUCAGCUCAGUGUGUGGCUCCAUCCGAUGAUCGGUGACGACGAUGGUGGAGCCAACUGGAGGCUGGUAGACACAUUUUGUGUCCAUGAGACAUGCACACGUCUUGUGGAUCGUUAUUGGGUGCCCCUUUAUAAUUUUAUUGCUGUUGAUUUUGUCGGGGACAAUGCCGAGUUUGUGAUCUUGUAUCAUCCAGCAAGCUGCAUUUUCUUUUAUGUUCAUCUCAGGAACAGGGUGGUUGAGAAGGUGUAUCAGAGGCCGACGCCUACGGCUAUCACUCCGGUCUAUGGCCGCUUCCAUAUCUCUCCUGUUAUGAUGACCUGGCCGCCUAUCUUUCCGACACUGAACAAAGGACAUGAUCAAGAGGAAUGA